UAAUAUCUCCAUAUACACUGCAUGGCAGGGGAAAGAUACUGUAAAAUCUCCCUUCCCACCCCACCCCACUAACCUAUUUUCCAGCUCAAUUCUCCUAUACAGGGCAACAAAAGAAGACCCAGCCUAUCAUCUGGGACUCAGGAGGCAGAGAAUAGAUGGGGGCGGGG